rnacentral:rRNA from 1 species
UACGGGGGGGGCAAGCGUUGUUCGGAAUUACUGGGCGUAAAGGGCGCGUAGGCGGCCUGCUAAGUCAUACGUGAAAUCCCUCGGCUCAACCGAGGAACUGCGUCUGAUACUGGUUGGCUUGAAUUCGGGAGAGGGAUGCGGAAUUCCAGGUGUAGCGGUGAAAUGCGCAGAUAUCAGGAGGAACACCGGUGGCGAAGGCGGGUCUCUGGGCCGAUACUGACGCUGAGGAGCGAAAGCGUGGGGAGCGAACAGG